GCCGUUUUAGCUCAGUUGGUAGAGCAAUAGACUGAAAAUCUAUGUGUCCCUGGUUCGAUUCCUGGAGACGGCA
rnacentral:tRNA from 1 species